rnacentral:tRNA from 1 species
GCAUUGGUGGUUCAGUGGUAGAAUUCUCACCUUCCAUGCGGGAGACCUGGGUUUUAUUCCCAGCCAGUGUG